rnacentral:rRNA from 3 species
GAGCGGCGAACGGGUGAGUAACACGUGAGUAACCUGCCCCUGACUCUGGGAUAAGCCUGGGAAACUGGGUCUAAUACCGGAUAUNACACUCUUCGGCAUCGGAUGGGUGUGGAAAGUUUUUUCGGUUGGGGAUGGGCUCGCGGCCUAUCAGCUUGUUGGUGGGGUAGUGGCCUACCAAGGCGACGACGGGUAGCCGGCCUGAGAGGGCGACCGGCCACACUGGGACUGAGACACGGCCCAGACUCCUACGGGAGGCAGCAGUGGGGAAUAUUGCGCAAUGGGCGGAAGCCUGACGCAGCGACGCCGCGUGGGGGAUGACGGCCUUCGGGUUGUAAACCUCUUUCAGCAGGGACGAAGUUGACGUGUACCUGUAGAAGAAGCGCCGGCUAACUACGUGCCAGCAGCCGCGGUAAUACGUAGGGCGCAAGCGUUGUCCGGAAUUAUUGGGCGUAAAGAGCUCGUAGGUGGCUUGUUGCGUCUGCCGUGAAAGCCCGUGGCUUAACUGCGGGUCUGCGGUGGAUACNGGCAGGCUAGAGGCUGGUAGGGGCAAGCGGAAUUCCU